rnacentral:rRNA from 1 species
UACGUAGGGUGCGAGCGUUAAUCGGAAUUACUGGGCGUAAAGCGUGCGCAGGCGGUUCGUUGUGUCCGUCGUGAAAGCCCCGGGCUUAACCUGGGAACUGCGAUGGAAACUAGCGAGCUGGAGUGUGGCAGAGGGGGGUGGAAUUCCGCGUGUAGCAGUGAAAUGCGUAGAGAUGCGGAGGAACACCGAUGGCGAAGGCAGCCCCCUGGCUAACACUGACGCUCAGGCACGAAAGCGUGGGGAGCAAACAGG